rnacentral:misc_RNA from 1 species
UUGCAACAGAGCAUAUCUUCUUCUAAAGGAAGGGAAAAUGUGUAGAGGGCUUGAUGAAUAUAGCCAGACGUUCCAGCUUGGCAUUUUCUUUACUUCAUCUUGGUUUCAGGAACAGAACCAGCCAUUAACAAGAUCGCUNAGAUCGCUUCUGUUUAUGUCCUCAGAGUUGAAAGUCAUAGAAUAAUACUGAGAGUGGCAGUAUCUUAUUCACAACACCUGUUUAAUUAAGCGACUGAAAAAUUUUUCAAAAC